AGAACUUCAUCCUCUGAUUCGUAGUUAGUCAGGUUUGGGGAAUUGAUACAAGUAGCACAUACCAACACGAUUUAGUUCGAUAGAGAACUGUGAUCCAUAUCAAGCAUAUCAUUUCCCAUAAUGAGAGGUCAAGUAGCAAAUUAGCAACAUUGAGCAUAAAACUAAAAUUAUAGCAUAUUAUGGGUCCUUCCUCUCUACAACUACUUAUAAAAUUAAUAAACAUUACAACAUUAAGAAUCUAGA